CGAGUUCCCGUACGAUCACCGAAGUUAAGCAACAUCGUGCCUGAUCAGUACCUAGAUGGGUAACCGCUUGGGAAUUCCAGGUGCUGUAAG
rnacentral:rRNA from 1 species